UGCCGCGUGAGUGAUGAAGGCCUUAGGGUCGUAAAGCUCUUUCGCCAGAGAUGAUAAUGACAGUAUCUGGUAAAGAAACCCCGGCUAACUCCGUGCCAGCAGCCGCGGUAAUACGGAGGGGGUUAGCGUUGUUCGGAAUUACUGGGCGUAAAGCGCGCGUAGGCGGGCUAGUAAGUUAGAGGUGAAAUCCCAGGGCUCAACCCUGGAACUGCCUUUAAUACUGCUAGUCUUGAGUUCGAGAGAGGUGAGUGGAAUUCCGAGUGUAGAGGUGAAAUUCGUAGAUAUUCGGAGGAACACCAGUGGCGAAGGCGGCUCACUGGCUCGAUACUGACGCUGAGGUGCGAAAGUGUGGGGAGCAAACAGGAUUAGAUACCCUGGUAGUCCACACCGUAAACGAUGAAUGCCAGUCGUCGGGUAGCAUGCUAUUCGGUGACACACCUAACGGAUUAAGCAUUCCGCCUGGGGAGUACGGUCGCAAGAUUAAAACU
rnacentral:rRNA from 1 species